UAGGGAAUCUUCCGCAAUGGGCGAAACCUUGACGGAGCAACGCCGCGUGAGUGAUGAAGGUCUUCGGAUCGUAAAACUCUUUUAUUAGGGAAGAACAAAUGUGUAAGUAACUAUGCACGUCUUGACGGUACCUAAUCAGAAACCCACGGCUAACUACGUGCCAGCAGCCGCGGUAAUACGUUGGUGGCAAGCGUUAUCCGGAAUUUUUGGGCGUAAAGCGCGCGUAGGCGGUUUUUUAAGUGUGAUGUGAAAGCCCACGGCUCAAACGGGGAGGGUCAUUGGAAACUGGAAAACUUGAGUGCAGAAGAGGAAAGGGGAAUUCCAUGUGUAGCGGUGAAAUGCGCAGAGAUAUGGAGGAACACCAGUGGCGAAGGCGACUUUCUGGUCUGUAACUGACGCUGAUGUGCGAAAGCGUGGGGAUCAAACAGG
rnacentral:rRNA from 1 species